rnacentral:rRNA from 1 species
ACAAGCCCUGGAAACGGGGUCUAAUACCGGAUGGGACUGCCGGCCGCAUGGUCUGGUGGUGGAAAGCUCCGGCGGUACAGGAUGAGCUCGCGGCCUAUCAGCUUGUUGGUGGGGUGAUGGCCUACCAAGGCGACGACGGGUAGCCGGCCUGAGAGGGCGACCGGCCACACUGGGACUGAGACACGGCCCAGACUCCUACGGGAGGCAGCAGUGGGGAAUAUUGCACAAUGGGCGAAAGCCUGAUGCAGCGACGCCGCGUGAGGGAUGACGGCCUUCGGGUUGUAAACCUCUUUCAGCAGGGAAGAAGCCUUUAAAAGUGACGGUACCUGCAGAAGAAGCACCGGCUAACUACGUGCCAGCAGCCGCGGUAAUACGUAGGGUGCAAGCGUUGUCCGGAAUUAUUGGGCGUAAAGAGCUCGUAGGCGGCUUGUCGCGUCGGAUGUGAAAGCCCGGGGCUUAACCCCGGGUUUGCAUACGAUACGGGCAGGCUAGAGUUCGGUAGGGGAGAUCGGAAUUCCUGGUG